GACGAACGCUGGCGGCGUGCUUAACACAUGCAAGUCGAACGGAAAGGCUCCAGCUUGCUGGAGUGCUCGAGUGGCGAACGGGUGAGUAACACGUGGGCAAUCUGCCCUGCACUCUGGGAUAAGCCUGGGAAACUGGGUCUAAUACCGGAUAGGACCUUUCUCCUCAUGGGGUUUGGUGGAAAGUUUUUCGGUGCAGGAUGAGCCCGCGGCCUAUCAGCUUGUUGGUGGGGUAAUGGCCUACCAAGGCGACGACGGGUAGCCGGCCUGAGAGGGUGAUCGGCCACAUUGGGACUGAGAUACGGCCCAGACGCCUACGGGAGGCAGCAGUGGGGAAUAUUGCACAAUGGGCGAAAGCCUGAUGCAGCGACGCCGCGUGAGGGAUGACGGCCUUCGGGUUGUAAACCUCUUUCAGUAGGGACGAAGCGCAAGUGACGGUACCUGCAGAAGAAGCACCGGCUAACUACGUG
rnacentral:rRNA from 1 species